UACGAGAGGCCCAAACGUUAUUCGGAUUUACUGGGCUUAAAGAGUCCGUAGGCGGCGCAGAAAGUGGGGUGUGAAAGCCCUCGGCUUAACCGAGGAAUUGCGCUCCAAACUACUGUGCUUGAGGAAUCUAGAGGUGAGCGGAACUGAUGGUGGAGCGGUGAAAUGCGUUGAUAUCAUCAGGAACACCGGAGGCGAAGGCGGCUCACUGGGGAUUUUCUGACGCCGAGGGACGAAAGCCAGGGGAGCGAACGGG
rnacentral:rRNA from 1 species